rnacentral:rRNA from 1 species
UACGUAGGGUGCGAGCGUUUGUCCGGAAUUAUUGGGCGUAAAGAGCUCGUAGGCGGUCUGUCGCGUCGGUCGUGAAAACUUGGGGCUUAACCCUGAGCUUGCGGUCGAUACGGGCAUGACUGGAGUUCGGCAGGGGAGACUGGAAUUCCUGGUGUAGCGGUGAAAUGCGCAGAUAUCAGGAGGAACACCGGUGGCGAAGGCGGGUCUCUGGGCCGAUACUGACGCUGGAGGC